GAUAUAUCUUUUUAACAGGGAAAGUCCUUCUAAAAGAAAAAGAAAAAGAAAAGGGAAUGAUGUCAAGAUUGGGAAAACAUUUAAAAAAGAAAUGAACUGUUUUUAUAAGAAGGAAAAUAUUGCUUAUUUGAAAUCAGCAGUGUACGUAACCUAAGUAACACAGAGAUGCAUAGGAUAAGGUUAAAAAUUAGACCAGGGUGACACAUACAGAAGCUGCAGGUUAUAUGGAUGAGCUGUUGACAAUGAAAGACAUAACUGGGACAUUCCAUUUUGACCUGCCAGUUUGAAUCAAGGGAUCAGGCUGUCCAUGGGGGGGAGAACAACAGCGCCAACUAACAGGAAGGGUCCAGGAUGAACAUUCGCUAAUUCAGCUUUACUUUUUCGUGCCACAACAUUCUGAGCAUUUGCUACAAUCAGAAGAGAAAAAGGAGAAAUAUAUUAUCUUUUUUAUUUAUACGAUGUAAUUGUGUUAAUGCAUGAGUGUUUUACAUUUUGUGUAAUUUUUAUACAUCUAUGUGAACUCAGAGAGUUUUAAUCUCCAGCAGGGUAUAAGUCUUAAUGUAUAAACAUAAAUCAAUAUCCGAUUCAGUUUUUCCUCUUUUCCUCUAAAUAAUCUCUUGCUCAGUGUGAAAUAAUCCCAUGCACCCUGGUAUCAAUUCUGACUACACAAACAAAGUUAAUUAUAUGAAGUAACCCUUCUUUAUCACUUUUAUAAAUUAUCAGUAUCCUGUCUGCAUGGUUAUUAUAACUA